AUGUUAAUAGCGUUCUUGCUUGACUAAGGCUCCGGAGGAAGCCACGGCUAACUCUGUGCCAGCAGCCGCGGUAAUACAGAGGCGGCAAGCGUUGUUCGGAAUUAUUGGGCGUAAAGAGCACGUAGGCGGCUGUGUAAGUCGGUUGUGAAAGCCUUCCGCUUAACGGAAGAACGGCAUCCGAUACUGCAUAGCUUGAGUGCGGGAGGGGAGAGUGGAACUUCUGGUGGAGCGGUGAAAUGCGUAGAUAUCAGAAGGAACACCGGCGGCGAAGGCGACUCUCUGGUCCGUAACUGACGCUGAGUGUGCGAAAGCUAGGGGAGCAAACGGGAUUAGAUACCCCGGUAGUCCUAGCCGUAAACGAUGGGCACUAA
rnacentral:rRNA from 1 species